AUUUUUCAGACCAUCAUAAAUAGAUCUCUGCCGUUGCUAUAGAGAUAAAUAUUAAUGGAGUCUUUUUGUAGGCCCUAACUCCGCCAUGUUCGUUGGACAAAGCCUAUGAGGAAAAUGAAUGGCGUAUUUGUAGGGUUUUGGAUAAACGCCGAAAAUAAGGUCUGUGGGAAACACAGAUAUAGGAUAUCUUAUUUGUUCUAUUAGAUCAUCUUCAUUAUCUAACGUCACUUUUAGUUCACGUUGGAAGUUUUUUGGUAAUAAUAAAAACCAAAUCAAUCUCAUAAAGUUAAUGUAAACUGACUGCUAUUAUCAGAUCUCCUAAGCCUGUGUUCAAGAAGCAUUAUGUCGAGUUGUUGCAUUAUAAUGUCAUAUAUCUGCAGUAAUAGUAUAAUUCUAGUGUUGUAACAUAUAUUACAUAUAUGUAUAUAUAAUGCUUUGGGCUCUUACAUAACACUCCAUACAGAACCAAUCCGUCGAUAUAAUGGACAUCAUAAAUCACGCGAUGUGAAUCAGACAGUGACUCGUUGGUCAGAAGGUUCCAAUCAUCGUUUUAUGUCAUCAUUUCCGAGCAGCGUCAACCACAACUGUUAUUACACCCCGUUUACGUUGGCGGCGGUAAAGACCGUUUUUAUUGUGCAGUAACUAAAACUAGAAGAUCUGGCGUCCUUUCCCUUCGCCGAAGCGUACAUUUCCGGGGAGCCCGUGGCAUGGUGUCGUGACAGAGGUGAGGGAGAGGCUGAAAGCGGUGGCUAGCGAUCCGUCGCUGAUAAACAACUUGACUCGCUUCGGCACGGCUGCGCUGUGACUGGGUCGGGGAUGUUAGGCGAUGGAGAACAAAGUUUGGGGCAUGGUGGUACAAAUAAAGGGGGAGAGAAUGUGAGUAGGGGUUUGAAGGGGAGAGAGAAGUAUGGAGGCAGCAAAGGACGUUUGAAGAGAGCAACAGUUUCCAGCGGCAGUUCGGGGGUCGAGAGUGCAGAGGAAGGGCAAGAUGCAUCGCGAGGGAGACAGUCCCCAUCCUUGCCAAGACUCUCAAGGACGUCGCUUUAAACCACAGUCCGACCUCUCCACCCAGGAACAGCAGAACAAUCUCCACCCCGAAAAAGAUCACCGGGACAAUACCCCGGACCAGCACCCUGGAACUCCCAGCCACGACCACAAAACCACCAACCUCAAUGCCUACCACAGCCAGCGCAGCACAGACCACCCCAGCCCAGCUUCACAGCCACCCAGAUGAGGCCUCCCACCCCCCUACCCCCCACCGCAGACCCACACUUGGAGGAGCCACAGCCCAGCAGGCACAGGCUGUGAGAGGAGCAACUGGCCCAGCCCCCACCAACCAAAUGAGUGACAUUAAACAAAUGCUGAGUCUACUAUGCUCAUGGAACCAAUAUCCAAAGUGGGUACUUAGAAAGACCCAUUACUGCAUAUGAGGGGGCACCAUGGGCAGAGCAAGAUGUGAUUGGGCCGACAAUGACCAAAAAGGUUGAGAACCACUGGACUAGGCAAGUAUUAGAUGGUACAUUAACAAUCCCAACAAUGAUCAUCCAUUAGCCAAGAUGCCCAAAAUAUCCCUGUCCCAUGCUUGUUGAAGCCAAAAGUUGAAUCAUUACCUGUCUCUAAAGGCAUUGUAGACUACUAAUGUCCAUGCGAAGCACAACUUCCAACCCAUAACGGUCUUUAGAUUCCCUAUAAGAAAAUAAUUGUGUAAGCAAAGUAACUCCACUAGUCAUGCAUUGAUACAGUAGAUUAUUGUGUCCUAUGUAUCAGAUCAUGUAAAUGUCAUUCAUAUUAUAUCUUAAUUUAGAAUAAAUCAAACAGUUUUUCUUUAGAUGCCAUCUUUGAGAAGAAAAAGAGCCAGGCUGGUUUACAGAGACCUGACUAGAGGCGUGAUAGUGCCGACACCCCUGCAUCAACUUGGAUCGUCAGGGCAGUUCAACCCAUGUGUUCCUGUGGCCCUACGAUGGAAGUGCAGGAGACAAGAUGACCAUGACUGUCACAGCCAGUACAACCGUAUUCUGACUGUUAACAUUAGAGACUGGCCUGCCACCCCCCAACUGUGAGCUGGAACCUGUCACUCUGAUCCUCCACAGACUGGCCUGCCACCCCCCAACUGUGAGCUGGAACCUGUCACUCUGAUCCUUCACAGACUGGCCUGCCACCCCCCAGCUGUGAGCUGGAACCUGUCACUCUGAUCCUCCACAGACUGGCCUGCCACCCCCCAGCUGUGAGCUGGAACCUGUCACUCUGAUCCUCCACAGACUGGCCUGCCACCCCCCAACUGUGAGCUGGAACCUGUCACUCUGAUCCUCCACAGACUGGCCUGCCACCCCCCAGCUGUGAGCUGGAACCUGUCACUCUGAUCCUCCACAGACUGGCCUGCCACCCCCCAGCUGUGAGCUGGAACCUGUCACUCUGAUCCUCCACAGACUGGCCUGCCACCCCCCAGCUGUGAGCUGGAACCUGUCACUCUGUUCCUCCACAGACUGGCCUGCCACCCCCUAGCUGUGAGCUGGAACCUGUCACUCUGAUCCUCCACAGACUGGCCUGCCACCCCCAGCUGUGAGCUGGAACCUGUCACUCUGAUCCUUCACAGACUGGCCUGCCACCCCCCAGCUGUGAGCUGGAACCUGUCACUCUGAUCCUCCACAGACUGGCCUGCCACCCCCCAGCUGUGAGCUGGAACCUGUCACUCUGAUCCUCCACAGACUGGCCUGCCACCCCCCAACUGUGAGCUGGAACCUGUCACUCUGAUCCUCCACAGACUGGCCUGCCACCCCCCAGCUGUGAGCUGGAACCUGUCACUCUGAUCCUCCACAGACUGGCCUGCCACCCCCCAGCUGUGAGCUGGAACCUGUCACUCUGAUCCUCCACAGACUGGCCUGCCACCCCCCAGCUGUGAGCUGGAACCUGUCACUCUGUUCCUCCACAGACUGGCCUGCCACCCCCUAGCUGUGAGCUGGAACCUGUCACUCUGAUCCUCCACAGACUGGCCUGCCACCCCCAGCUGUGAGCUGGAACCUGUCACUCUGAUCCUCCACAGACUGGCCUGCCACCCCCCCAACUGUGAGCUGGAACCUGUCACUCUGAUCCUCCACAGACUGGCCUGCCACCCCCCCAACUGUGAGCUGGAACCUGUCACUCUGAUCCUCCACAGACUGGCCUGCCACCCCCCAGCUGUGAGCUGGAACCUGUCACUCUGAUCCUCCACAGACUGGCCUGCCACCCCCCAGCUGUGAGCUGGAACCUGUCACUCUGAUCCUCCACAGACUGGCCUGCCACCCCCCAGCUGUGAGCUGGAACCUGUCACUCUGAUCCUCCACAGACUGGCCUGCCACCCCCCAACUGUGAGCUGGAACCUGUCACUCUGAUCCUCCACAGACUGGCCUGCCACCCCCCAAAUGCCGCAAACAGUAAUUUCAGUGGACCUCCUGCGCCAGUUUGCAGCCCCGCAGCUGGAGUGAGGAGUCUCUUUGAGGGGGAUUAACUUUCCAUAACUCCAAUACAUACUGGAAGACAAUUGAGCUCUACCGGAAACUCACAAAUGAGUCAUUUGAGGAGUUCUAACACUGGCAGUUUGAACGAGAGACUGUCAGGGAUUUGGCGCCACUGACCUCGGAUGGAACAAAGUGCCUUCUCGGUCCAUAGGUCACUAAUGGUACCAGGUGUGUGACUGGUAGUGGGCUUGCUGACGGAGAACAGAUGGAGAGGUUGUGGUCCUACGUUAGAACAUUUGUGAAGAUCACAAAAGAGAUGACACCAACUCAUCGUGUUGACGCCCUCAAAGAUGCCCUCUACUACGCAUCCAGGGUCAGGGAGAAGCAAGGCAGCACCCAGUCGGACGUGGAAGUUUGGACCCGUCAGAUGAAGGAGACCCUCACAGAAAAGAGGACGUUGUUCCUUACUUGGCAGGAGAGAUGCGUGGAAACUCUCGCAGAACAACACCUGGAGAAAAGGUUGCAGGCCAUGGAGAAGAGAAACCGGAUUGUACGCUGGUCUCUUCAACACUGUGCAGCAAUUAUGGAAAGUCUGCAGACUAUUGUGGCCUGGUCAGAAAGUCUGCAGACUAAGAUGAUUCUCUGUCUGCUGGCUACAAUCCAUAGACUGGUCCUGUAGCGCUCUUCCUCUUGUGGCCUGGUCAGAAAGUAUGCAGAUGGACAAACCAUUGCUGUGUGGCUCUCCAGAAAAAUCAAGCGGACAUCGGAGAGAAUAAAACCGCAGAUCAACGCCUAAAGAUGCAUAACAUGUGCCUUAGGGCAGCAGAGGAGAGGUACACAAUACAGGAAGACCUACACAAUGGCCUUUUGUAUUGCCAGCAAGAGCUGGGGCUUUUUAAAGAUGCAUAACAUGUGCCUUAGGGCAGCAGAGGAGAGGAGAGGUACACAAUACAGGAAGACCUACACAAUGGCCUUUUGUAUUGCCAGCAAGAGCUGGGGCUUUUUAAAGAUGCAGAACAUGUCAAAUGCAGAACAUAUUUAAGCUCCAGCAAGCAUUUUCAAAUGUUGGCUGAUGAUGGCUCGGUCAGCACAGAUGUAAAAGAGGACAGUGAAUCAGAAGAUGAAAUUGGUUGAGGAAUGAAUGUCUGUGUGUGUGUGUGAGUUUUAUAGGGCAAACUAUACACUGAGUAUUUCUAACAUUAGGAACAACUUCCUAAUAUUGAGUUGAACCCCCCCAGCCCCCCUUUUGCCCUCAGAACAGACUCAAAUCGUCAGGUAAUGGACCUGUACCCCCGCACAUUGUACCGGUACCCCCUGUAUUUAGCCUCGUUAUCGUUAUUUAAUUGUUACUUUUUUAAACUUUAUUCAGUAAAUGCAUUUUCUUAACUGUAUUUUCUUAACUGCAUUGUUGUAUAAAGGGCUUGUAAGUAUUUCAUGGUCAAGUUUACACCUGUUGUAUUCGGCGCAUGUGACAAAUACAAUUUGAUUGGACUCUACAAUGUGUCGAAGCGUUCCACAUGGAUGCUGGCCCAUGUUGACUCCUAUGCUUCCCACAGUUGUGUCAAGUUGGCUGGAUGUCCUUUGGGUGGUGGACCAUUCUUGACACACGUGUGAAAAACCCAGCAGCGUUGCAGUUCUUGACACAACGGUGCGCCUGGCACUUACUACCAUAACCCCGUCCGAAGUCAUUUAAAUCAUUUGUCUUGCCCAUUCACCCUUCUGAAGGGCACACAAUCCACAUCGCAAUUGUCUCAAGGCUUAGAAAUCCUUUAACCAGUCUCCUCCCCUUCAUCUACACUGAUUUAAAUGUAUUUAACAAGUGACGUCAAUGAGGGAUCAUAUCUUUCACCUGGAUUCACCUGGUCAGUUUACGUAAUGGAAAGAGCACGUGUCCUUAAUGUUUAUUACACUCAGUGUAUAUGUUUGUCAUACUUGGGACAAAUAGGAUGUUAUGCAGAAAAAUAUGUUGGUCAGACAAGGCAAUGUAUGUUUGUGCACAUAGAAGUCAGUGAUUUAUGUUUACCUAUACUGUAGGUUAAUGAGGCAAUACAAAUGUGAUGUGACCAACAUAUGGAUUAAAUGAAAGGGCCGAGAUUCAUCAAAACCUUAAGAAGACAUUUCUUAACGGUCUUAUGAAGAAGGUUUUAUAACUCAAAAAGGUUAUUGUGCAAUUUCUUAUGUUUCCCAUUAAGCAUGAAGUUGGGAAGGAAUUAGAUUCUUGAAAAUUAAGUUAUUGGAUUUGUUCUUAAUUCCAAGAUGGCUCAACUCUUGUAUUAAACUCGGUGAGAGAAUAAGCUCAUGUUUAAUUCACUCACAAACUUCAUCUGAAAUUUUCAGUAGGGUUAUUUUAAACCCAAGAACAUGUUUUAGAACCUUAACUUGUUUGCCAUUUCUAGCUACAGUUGAAGUCGGAAGUUUUCAUACACUUAGGUUGGAGUCAUUAAAAAUAGUUUUUCAA